rnacentral:rRNA from 1 species
GCAAAACGAAGAACCUUACCAAGGCUUGACAUGUCGGAAGUAGUGAACUGAAAGGGAACGACCUGUAAAGUCAGGAGCCGUCACAGGUACUGCAUGGCUGUCGUCAGCUCGUGCCGUGAGGUGUUUGGUUAAGUCCUGCAACGAGCGCAACCCUCGUUGCCAGUUAUAUUCUCUGGCGAGACUGCCCUGCAAAACGGGGAGGAAGGUGGGGAUGACGUCAAGUCAGCACGGUCUUUAUGCCUUGGGCUACACACACGCUACAAUGGGUGGUACAAUAGGUGGCAAUAGAGCGAUCUGGAGCUAAUCCUAAAAGCCAUCCUCAGUUCAGAUUGCAGGCUGAAACCCGCCUGCAUGAGGGAGGAGUUGCUAGUAACCGCAUAUCAGCAUGGUGCCGGUGAACUACGUUCUCGGGCCUU